rnacentral:rRNA from 1 species
UACGUAGGGUGCGAGCGUUAAUCGGAAUUACUGGGCGUAAAGCGUGCGCAGGCGGUUUGUUAAGAUAGGCGUGAAAUCCCCGGGCUCAACCUGGGAACUGCGUUUAUGACUGGCAGGCUAGAGUAUGGCAGAGGGGGGUGGAAUUCCACGUGUAGCAGUGAAAUGCGUAGAGAUGUGGAGGAACACCGAUGGCGAAGGCAGCCCCCUGGGCCAAUACUGACGCUCAUGCACGAAAGCGUGGGUAGCAAACAGGAUUAGAUACCCCGGGUAGUCC